rnacentral:rRNA from 1 species
GACCGGGGACGACAGCAGUAUGAAGGUCAGGCUGAAGACCUUACCCGAUUAGCUGAGAGGUGGUGCAUGGCCGUCGUCAGUUCGUACUGUGAAGCAUCCUGUUAAGUCAGGCAACGAGCGAGACCCACGUCCACAGUUGCCAGCAUACCCUCCGGGGUGAUGGGUACACUGUGGAGACCGCCGCUGCUAAAGCGGAGGAAGGAGUGGGCAACGGUAGGUCAGUAUGCCCCGAAUCUCCCGGGCUACACGCGGGCUACAAUGGUUGGUACAAUGGGCAUCUACCCCGAAAGGGGAAGGAAAUCUCUUAAAGCCAAUCGUAGUUCGGAUUGAGGGCUGCAACUCGCCCUCAUGAAGCUGGAAUCCGUAGUAAUCGCGUUUCAACAGAACGCGGUGAAUACGUCCCUGCUCCUU